ensembl:lncRNA
AUUUUGCUACUAGUUUUAAGAACCCCGUAAAUCAAAGGAUCCAGUAAUUCCCAAGAGGAUAAUGUACACAGAAUAAUGUUAUAGGGUCCUGAUCUUAUUUAUUUAUCAGAGAACCGAUAGAGGCGGUUUUUAAGACCGCGGUCAUUCUCGUCAUUCUGGCCAGGAUUCCAAAUAUGGGCAAACUGAGGCUACAGACAUAACAUUGGCAUUCCCGCCAAAAUUUAAGAUUUUGAAAAAGGGAAUGUUCCAUUUCUGCUGAUUGCUGGGGGAACUGACCUCAACACUCUAACUGUUUUAAUUUAAUAACUUGUUUAAUUUUCUGGUGCAAAAUAUCUCUGUUAUGUAUAAAACAACUAUUAGAUUAUUUUGUUUCUGUGUUAAAGUUGUUGAGGGGCUGUAUUUGAAAUGGUUCUGGUUGUGUAAGUUUUGGGCUCUGCUGUAGUUCAGCCAGUGUUUUGGUGACCGCUGUCUCGUUUUUUUUUUUUUUCUUAUUUUGUAGCUGAUUUGAGGUCUAGUUGAAGCUUUAGGGUCCUUAUCGCUUCUAAAGGAGUGCUGUUCACUCCGCGGCCGAGUUUAUGAAGUGAUUCUGCUGCUGAUCUCCGCAAGCCGACCCCCGUCCAGCCCGAGAGAUGGAGAACGAUGCCGGGACCCAGACCAGCUCUCCAUCCACCAGUCCGGCUCCUGUCGAAAUAAGUAACACUCUGCACCAAGCUUCCCAUACCGGCACAGUCAUCCCAAACCGGAUCUUUGUAGGGGGGAUCGGUGGUAAAGCUAAGGAAAAUGAUCUAAGGUGUUUUUUCUCUGAAUACGGAGUGAUCAGAGAAGUGAAUAUUGUUACUGAUCGAGACGGAAUAUCAAAGGGAUAUGGCUUUGUUACAUUCGAAACUCAGGAAGAUGCACAGAAAAUUCUACAUGAUGCUGACCGACUUUCUUUUCGUGAUAAAAGGAUAAACGUGGGCCAGGCAUUCCGCAAACAACUGAAAGGACACUACAGCUAUACUGCGGAUACUCAGGGUUCAUCUAUGGCUUAUCAAGCUCCUUUUGGCACCACAUACCUGACCACCCCUACUGGAUAUCCCUACACCUACCACAAUGGAGUGGCCUACUUCCACACACCAGAGCCCAACACACUGAGCCCCUCACACUGGCAUGCUCCACCCCACACGAUGUCUGGAUCGUCCGUCAUGGUGACCCACUCUGCCUCUUCCAUCUGCAUCCCACAACCCUACCACAAUUCACAGGCUUCUUCUCAGUAUGUGCCUGGACACGUGCCAUGGACCAUUCCUCAGGUAGAGGCUUCUUCACAGUAUGUGUCUGGACAUGUGCCAUGGACUAUUCCUCAGGUAGAGACCUCCGUCCCUGUGAAUCCAAGUUCUUUAUCAUGCAUCCAGCCUGCUGAGGUAAUGUACCAGCCCAUGGAGAUGCCAGCAGAGAAUUGGUGUUUCCAGUCAGCCAUGCCAUUAAUGGAGGCUACAAUUCCCGAGGAGCAAAGAUUUCACCCAGUCAGACGAAGCUUCUCCCGCUCUGCGGCCCACUUAAAGCCCAGGUACCACCACGGCCAUCGUUACACUCACCUGCACAAGAACUACCGCCCGGAUGUGUACCAGGCAUUCCCAGCAUCCCCAGCUCCUGCUUCUUCUCCUGGCCUGGAGAUGCCGAUAUAGAGACCUUUUCCCAGCUCCUUUUCUGUGUUCACACUAAGCUCUAACCACACCUUACUCCAAAUCUCUGACCAACCUAACCCUACAGAAAUAAGCUUUUACCAAACACAGACUUAGACCUUAAUAAGUCUAUACUAUAAAGAACAUGCUCUCUACCAGGCCUACACUACAGCUGGUCCUGACUGUACACACAGAAAUACUGCAUCUAAAGACAAUCGAGGUGAUAACAGUCUCUCAACCAGUAAAUGUGCCUUAAAUAACAAGUAAUGACUUUUGGAAAUAACUAUAUUAUGGCAGAUUUAUUUGAAUUUAUAAGCCUGUUGAAUUCAUUUAUUAGGCAACCUAGACUAUUCACUCACUCACUGUUGUAUGUAAUAUCUAAAAUAAUUGUUUAAUAGUAAUAGUAAUAGUAAAACAAGAAAGAGCACAGUUUAAUCUGUUAAAAGAGACUUUUUGAAAAAAAAAAGAAUAUGUUCCCUCACAAUAUAACCAUCUUUGUAAUGUCAUUGCAGCUUUGCAAAGAUGUCAUGGAAGUGAUAUUAUAAAAAAUAAAUUUUACAUUUACUAAUUUGAGUAUCA